rnacentral:rRNA from 1 species
GAUGAACGCUGGCGGCGUGCCUAAUACAUGCAAGUCGAGCGAACGGACGAGAAGCUUGCUUCUCUGAUGUUAGCGGCGGACGGGUGAGUAACACGUGGAUAACCUACCUAUAAGACUGGGAUAACUUCGGGAAACCGGAGCUAAUACCGGAUGAUAUUUUGAACCGCAUGGUUCAAAAGUGAAAGACGGUCUUGCUGUCACUUAUAGAUGGAUCCGCGCUGCAUUAGCUAGUUGGUAAGGUAACGGCUUACCAAGGCAACGAUGCAUAGCCGACCUGAGAGGGUGAUCGGCCACACUGGAACUGAGACACGGUCCAGACUCCUACGGGAGGCAGCAGUAGGGAAUCUGCCGCAAUGGGCGAAAGCCUGACGGAGCAACGCCGCGUGAGUGAUGAAGGUCUGCGGAUCGUAAAACUCUGUUAUUAGGGAAGAACAUAUGUGUAAGUAACUGUGCACAUCUUGACGGUACCUAAUCAGAAAGCCACGGCUAACUACGU